AUACACUUGAUUAGGAAAAAAAACUUUAAUUACUCUAUAGUAAAAUAAGUAAUUUGUGACAUAUAUAGAUAGGAACUGUGUACAUGAAAACCAACCUUGGAGAUCAUAAAGCUCUAGCUAGGGCAUGAGUGGGAAUAUAGAAUCCCCAACUAACAUUUUAUUCAUAUUUUGUUAUACAUAAUUUUCAUCCACUUAUAUUGUUUAUUUAUUAAUGUAGAUGGAAACAUGAAUGUUUGCAUUCGAUUAUAACUAAUGGUAUUUAAUGGUGAUCUGAGCUUUCUUAUGGGUGACCACCGCCCCCUCCGCCAUGACCACCACCACCUUUACCCCAUCCGCCAUGAUGACCACCUUUACCCCAUCCGCCGUGACCACCGCCCCAUCCGCCGUGACCACCGUCCCAUCCGCCGUGACCACCGCCCCAUCCACCAUGGCCGCCACCUCCUCCAUGCCAUCUGCCGUGACCUUUUAAAUGUUUAUCUACUUGAGAUGGAUCCGCUGCAUGAACACAAAUGGAACCAAUUAAUUAGUACAAAGGAAAAACGUGAAAAACAUUACACUAAAAAGAGCGUUUGGCAUAUCGUACAUAAUAUAGUCCCUCCAUUCCAAAAUUUAAAUGAUACUCCCCUCGUCCUAAAUUAAUUGCUUAGUUUUGAUUUUUUAAAGUCAAAUUGACCAUUUUUAAAAUUAAUCUUUUUACUAUUUUUGCUAAAAUAUAGGCGAAGAGAUUAUAACCAAAAGAAAGUAUAUACAAUUUAUUACUAAUCUCAAUUUUUAUAAUUUUAGAAAUAUAUUUAUAUAUGCUUAAUUAUUAAUUCUAAAAAUAGUCAAUUUGACUUAAAAAAGUCAAAACUGAGCAAUUAAUUUGGGACGGAAGUAGUAGUAAAUUUAGUAAUGGAGUCUAUAUAUAUGUAAGAACUGAUAGUAAAUUUAUGAUUAUAUAAGGAAUAUUUUUUAAAAUAAUUUUUUUAGUUAAAAGUCAUCGUUUCAAAAAUAUAUUACUAAUUUUAAAACGGAUAGAUAUUUUAAAACAUACAGGCAUAUUUAUUUUCAGACAUACAGAAUUUUUAUCCAUAACAAUGUGAGAGGACCCAAUCUAAAACAUUUAGAGCUUAAUGUUUGAAAGUUGAAACGUUUAAUUCUCACAAUAAGAGAAGAAUGAAAAGGGAAAACAAAACUGAAACCAAAAGAAGAAGAUGAUUUAUGUGUGUAUGUAUGCAUGCUUACUCUUCUUUUCAUCAUGCGACGUCUCAGCAUUGACAAUCAAAGCGAUGAUAAAAACAGCUACAAGCAGAAGAAACGGGAAUUUAAAAGCCCUAAAUUUCAUUUUUCUUGGACAGAAAUUCCUAUAUAAAUAUAUGAAUCUGAUUUGAAGAAAUUAAUUAAGAUUUGAA
rnacentral:lncRNA from 1 species